rnacentral:rRNA from 1 species
GUGUCAGCCGCCGCGGUAAUACAGAGGGUGCUAGCGUUGUUCGGAAUUAUUGGGCGUAAAGGGCGCGUAGGCGGCCUCGCAUGUCGAAUGUGAAAGCCCACCUCUUAAAGGUGGAAUUGCAUUCGAAACUGCAAGGCUGGAGUGCCGGAGAGGGUGGUGGAAUUCCUGGUGUAGAGGUGAAAUUCGUAGAUAUCAGGAGGAACACCGGUGGCGAAGGCGGCCACCUGGACGGUAACUGACGCUGAGGCGCGAAAGCGUGGGGAGCAAACAGGAUUAGAAACCCGAGUAGUCC